UACGGAGGGUGCGAGCGUUGUCCGGAAUCACUGGGCGUAAAGGGCGCGUAGGCGGCUUCUCAAGCGUGUGGUGAAAGUCCGGGGCUCAACCCCGGAUCGGCCGUGCGGACUGGGGAGCUCGAGUUCUGUAGAGGCGGGUGGAAUUCCGGGUGUAGCGGUGGAAUGCGUAGAGAUCCGGAAGAACACCGGUGGCGAAGGCGGCCCGCUGGGCAGAGACUGACGCUGAUGCACGACAGCGUGGGGAGCAAACAGG
rnacentral:rRNA from 1 species